UACGUAGGGUGCGAGCGUUGUCCGGAAUUACUGGGCGUAAAGAGCUCGUAGGUGGUUUGUCGCGUUGUUCGUGAAAACUCACAGCUCAACUGUGGGCGUGCGGGCGAUACGGGCAGACUAGAGUACUGCAGGGGAGACUGGAAUUCCUGGUGUAGCGGUGGAAUGCGCAGAUAUCAGGAGGAACACCGAUGGCGAAGGCAGGUCUCUGGGCCGAUACUGACGCUGAGGAGCGAAAGCGUGGGGAGCGAACAGG
rnacentral:rRNA from 1 species